rnacentral:tRNA from 2 species
GCGCACGUGGUGGAAUUGGUAGACACAGCGGUCUUGAAAACCGUAGCUCUUGGCGGAGAAUGUGGGUUCGAAUCCCACCGUGCGCACCA